rnacentral:rRNA from 1 species
CCUACGGGAGGCAGCAGUGGGGAAUAUUGGACAAUGGGCGAAAGCCUGAUCCAGCCAUGCCGCGUGUGUGAAGAAGGCCUUCGGGUUGUAAAGCACUUUCAGUGGGGAAGAAAGCCUUGGGGCUAAUACCCUCGAGGAAGGACAUCACCCACAGAAGAAGCACCGGCUAACUCCGUGCCAGCAGCCGCGGUAAUACGGAGGGUGCGAGCGUUAAUCGGAAUUACUGGGCGUAAAGCGCGCGUAGGCUGUCUGAUAAGCCGGUUGUGAAAGCCCCGGGCUCAACCUGGGAACGGCAUCCGGAACUGUCAGGCUAGAGUGCAGGAGAGGAAGGUAGAAUUCCCGGUGUAGCGGUGAAAUGCGUAGAGAUCGGGAGGAAUACCAGUGGCGAAGGCGGCCUUCUGGACUGACACUGACGCUGAGGUGCGAAAGCGUGGGUAGCAAACAGGAUUAGAUACCCUGGUAGUC